rnacentral:rRNA from 1 species
AGCGUACACGGUGGAUGCCCUGGCAGUCAGAGGCGAUGAAGGACGUGCUAAUCUGCGAUAAGCGUCGGUAAGGUGAUAUGAACCGUUAUAACCGGCGAUUUCCGAAUGGGGAAACCCAGUGUGUUUCGACACACUAUCAUUAACUGAAUCCAUAGGUUAAUGAGGCGAACCGGGGGAACUGAAACAUCUAAGUACCCCGAGGAAAAGAAAUCAACCGAGAUUCCCCCAGUAGCGGCGAGCGAACGGGGAGCAGCCCAGAGCCUGAAUCAGUGUGUGUGUUAGUGGAAGCGUCUGGAAAGGCGCGCGAUACAGGGUGACAGCCCCGUACACAAAAAUGCACAUGCUGUGAGCUCGAUGAGUAGGGCGGGACACGUGGUAUCCUGUCUGAAUAUGGGGGGACCAUCCUCCAAGGCUAAAUACUCCUGACUGACCGAUAGUGAACCAGUACCGUGAGGGAAAGGCGAAAAGAACCCCGGCGAGGGGAGUGAAAAAGAACCUGAAACCGUGUACGUACAAGCAGUGGGAGCACGCUUAGGCGUGUGACUGCGUACCUUUUGUAUAAUGGGUCAGCGACUUAUAUUCUGUAGCAAGGUUAACCGAAUAGGGGAGCCGAAGGGAAACCGAGUCUUAACUGGGCGUUAAGUUGCAGGGUAUAGACCCGAAACCCGGUGAUCUAGCCAUGGGCAGGUUGAAGGUUGGGUAACACUAACUGGAGGACCGAACCGACUAAUGUUGAAAAAUUAGCGGAUGACUUGUGGCUGGGGGUGAAAGGCCAAUCAAACCGGGAGAUAGCUGGUUCUCCCCGAAAGCUAUUUAGGUAGCGCCUCGUGAAUUCAUCUCCGGGGGUAGAGCACUGUUUCGGCAAGGGGGUCAUCCCGACUUACCAACCCGAUGCAAACUGCGAAUACCGGAGAAUGUUAUCACGGGAGACACACGGCGGGUGCUAACGUCCGUCGUGAAGAGGGAAACAACCCAGACCGCCAGCUAAGGUCCCAAAGUCAUGGUUAAGUGGGAAACGAUGUGGGAAGGCCCAGACAGCCAGGAUGUUGGCUUAGAAGCAGCCAUCAUUUAAAGAAAGCGUAAUAGCUCACUGGUCGAGUCGGCCUGCGCGGAAGAUGUAACGGGGCUAAACCAUGCACCGAAGCUGCGGCAGCGACGCUGAUGCGUUGUUGGGUAGGGGAGCGUUCUGUAAGCCUGCGAAGGUGUGCUGUGAGGCAUGCUGGAGGUAUCAGAAGUGCGAAUGCUGACAUAAGUAACGAUAAAGCGGGUGAAAAGCCCGCUCGCCGGAAGACCAAGGGUUCCUGUCCAACGUUAAUCGGGGCAGGGUGAGUCGACCCCUAAGGCGAGGCCGAAAGGCGUAGUCGAUGGGAAACAGGUUAAUAUUCCUGUACUUGGUGUUACUGCGAAGGGGGGACGGAGAAGGCUAUGUUGGCCGGGCGACGGUUGUCCCGGUUUAAGCGUGUAGGCUGGUUUUCCAGGCAAAUCCGGAAAAUCAAGGCUGAGGCGUGAUGACGAGGCACUACGGUGCUGAAGCAACAAAUGCCCUGCUUCCAGGAAAAGCCUCUAAGCAUCAGGUAACAUCAAAUCGUACCCCAAACCGACACAGGUGGUCAGGUAGAGAAUACCAAGGCGCUUGAGAGAACUCGGGUGAAGGAACUAGGCAAAAUGGUGCCGUAACUUCGGGAGAAGGCACGCUGAUAUGUAGGUGAAGUCCCUCGCGGAUGGAGCUGAAAUCAGUCGAAGAUACCAGCUGGCUGCAACUGUUUAUUAAAAACACAGCACUGUGCAAACACGAAAGUGGACGUAUACGGUGUGACGCCUGCCCGGUGCCGGAAGGUUAAUUGAUGGGGUUAGCGCAAGCGAAGCUCUUGAUCGAAGCCCCGGUAAACGGCGGCCGUAACUAUAACGGUCCUAAGGUAGCGAAAUUCCUUGUCGGGUAAGUUCCGACCUGCACGAAUGGCGUAAUGAUGGCCAGGCUGUCUCCACCCGAGACUCAGUGAAAUUGAACUCGCUGUGAAGAUGCAGUGUACCCGCGGCAAGACGGAAAGACCCCGUGAACCUUUACUAUAGCUUGACACUGAACAUUGAGCCUUGAUGUGUAGGAUAGGUGGGAGGCUUUGAAGUGUGGACGCCAGUCUGCAUGGAGCCGACCUUGAAAUACCACCCUUUAAUGUUUGAUGUUCUAACGUGGACCCGUGAUCCGGGUUGCGGACAGUGUCUGGUGGGUAGUUUGACUGGGGCGGUCUCCUCCUAAAGAGUAACGGAGGAGCACGAAGGUUGGCUAAUCCUGGUCGGACAUCAGGAGGUUAGUGCAAUGGCAUAAGCCAGCUUGACUGCGAGCGUGACGGCGCGAGCAGGUGCGAAAGCAGGUCAUAGUGAUCCGGUGGUUCUGAAUGGAAGGGCCAUCGCUCAACGGAUAAAAGGUACUCCGGGGAUAACAGGCUGAUACCGCCCAAGAGUUCAUAUCGACGGCGGUGUUUGGCACCUCGAUGUCGGCUCAUCACAUCCUGGGGCUGAAGUAGGUCCCAAGGGUAUGGCUGUUCGCCAUUUAAAGUGGUACGCGAGCUGGGUUUAGAACGUCGUGAGACAGUUCGGUCCCUAUCUGCCGUGGGCGCUGGAGAACUGAGGGGGGCUGCUCCUAGUACGAGAGGACCGGAGUGGACGCAUCACUGGUGUUCGGGUUGUCAUGCCAAUGGCACUGCCCGGUAGCUAAAUGCGGAAGAGAUAAGUGCUGAAAGCAUCUAAGCACGAAACUUGCCCCGAGAUGAGUUCUCCCUGACUCCUUGA